UACGUAGGGUGCAAGCGUUGUCCGGAAUUAUUGGGCGUAAAGAGCUCGUAGGCGGUCUGUCGCGUCGGAUGUGAAAACCCAGGGCUCAACCCUGGGCCUGCAUUCGAUACGGGCAGACUAGAGUUCGGUAGGGGAGACUGGAAUUCCUGGUGUAGCGGUGAAAUGCGCAGAUAUCAGGAAGAACACCAAUGGCGAAGGCAGCUCGCUGGGACGGUACUGACGCUGAGACGCGAAAGCGUGGGGAGCGAACAGG
rnacentral:rRNA from 1 species